ensembl:lincRNA C130026L21Rik RIKEN cDNA C130026L21 gene
GGCCCAAUUCCCCGGGUGGAAUUUACAAGCGUUUUGCCUUCUCCUCCUGAUCUAACACCAGCUUAGAGAAUUUCUUCAAACCAGCCUUUCUCUUUAACCCCUGCGGCUCCGGCAGACAGCAGCCCAGCCAUCCUUGCUAAGUUCCUGAGAUUCCCUCCAGGGUCUGGGCUUUUCUCCAGCACGUGGCUCCCUGCUACCAUCCGAGAAGUCCCUGAUGCUGAGGUCUCUGCUGACUUGCCCCGAAGGAUUGCCGACACACGGACAUUUAUGUCUUCCCCACAGGGAAAAACACCCCAUUAGAAGGCAGAAAUUUGGUUCCCCCAUAGGAUCUUCAGGGAGCUGCAGUGACACCAGAGGAGGGCUACUGGAAAUGGCACCAGGACAUCAUAUUCGGUAAGACAGGAUCAGGGUGGACGCCCAUUCUACAGAGGGAAAACUGAGGCUCUGGACAAAAAACAGUGGCUUGCCCCACUGGCUUCCCACAGGCUCUAUAUUCUUCCUUCUGUCUCAGUUGUUUCUCAUGGGGCCAGUCAUUCAGCUCACCAGAUUCUCUAUCUGGGACACUGGAGGAUUGUCUGCCCCUGUGUGGUGGGUGCUCAGAACUGGGGGAGCUCCCAGCCUCUCCAUGGGAAUUCUGGCACGUGCAGCGAAGAUGAUGAUGUGUAGCUGUGAUGUUGAUGAUGUGUGUUUGUUGACAGUUGGACGAUUGUCUACCUCACAAGACAAUAAAUGGCUGCCAGAGGCAGAAACGUCAAAGUC